rnacentral:rRNA from 1 species
UGGGGAAUUUUGGACAAUGGGCGAAAGCCUGAUCCAGCAAUGCCGCGUGUGUGAAGAAGGCCUUCGGGUUGUAAAGCACUUUUGUCCGGAAAGAAAUCCUUGGCUCUAAUACAGUCGGGGGAUGACGGUACCGGAAGAAUAAGCACCGGCUAACUACGUGCCAGCAGCCGCGGUAAUACGUAGGGUGCAAGCGUUAAUCGGAAUUACUGGGCGUAAAGCGUGCGCAGGCGGUUUGCUAAGACCGAUGUGAAAUCCCCGGGCUCAACCUGGGAACUGCAUUGGUGACUGGCAGGCUAGAGUAUGGCAGAGGGGGGUAGAAUUCCACGUGCAGCAGUGAAAUGCGUAGAGAUGUGGAGGAAUACCGAUGGCGAAGGCAGCCCCCUGGGCCAAAUACUGACGCUCAUGCACGAAAGCGUGGGGGAGCAAACAGGAUUAGAUACCCUGGUAGUCCACGCCCUAAACGAUGUCAACUAGUUGUUGGGGAUUCAUUUCCUUAGUAACGUAGCUAACGCGUGAAGUUGACCGCCUGGGGAGUACGGUCGCAAGAUUAAAACUCAAAUGAAUUGACGGGG